ACGUCUCUGUUUACCACUCGCUGGGGCAGCCAUCUGCGCACGCGCCUGACGAGCCAGUUGGGAAACCGAGUUCUUCUGUCUUGCCACCCUGCCUGGUCGGCCUGAGGACUACAUCUCCCGUCCUGCCCCGCGGCCAGGAGCCCGAUACGGGCGGCAGGAGAGCGGCGUGGCAGGAUAUGGGGAGGUGGAACUUCAGUUAUUAGAGGUACUCUGUGGUUUCUGUUAUAUAGCUCAAACCAUUUUACGCCUUCCGCUAACGACGGGCUUAUCCGCUGCAAGACCGUGGACCUGGAGUGGGCUGCCAACGACAGGGGUGUCAGGAAGCAGAGAUCGGGUCAGCGAAAGCCAGCCACCUCGUACCCCGAGGACCGCCAUCAAUAACGCACAGGCCACCGCCAGCAACAUGCUGCACAUGAUUCCCAAGUACGGCCCUGACCUGGGCAUGGCUGCCAUCUGCAGAGCCAGUGCCAUCCUGCACAGCCAGAAGCUGGAGAUGGAGGAGAGGAAACGCACCUGCCCCACCAAGAGCUCCUGAGCCUCCUCGCCCCAAAGCAAUAGAGACUUGUCUCACCUGCCUCCAAAUAAAUAAAUCACCCAGCCUGGAGUACCUUAGAAGUGCCGCCUGAGUGGUGAGUUCAGCAGAGGAGAGAGCUUGGUGGGCCCUAUGUCACAAGGAGCUGUCUUCUAACUGAAACAGGGAUUUGAAACAUCUUACAGAAAGAAGAGUACAAACGUCAUCAGAUUAUAGAAAGAGAAAAUCAGAGGCAUGGAAAGGAAGGGGGAGCUAAUGUAUGAAGACCGAGCAUUAAAUUCACCCUUUUGGCUGGUACUUGUUGCAGGAGUGAAGAUGCUGCUUGGAACACCUGCAUCCAUAUUGAAGUGCCCAGGUUCAAGUCCAGGCUCCACUUUUGAUUCCAGUUUCCUGCUGAUGUGCACCUGGAAGCAGCAGAUAAUGGCUCAAGUGGGUGGGAGAUUCUCUCUCUCUCUCUCUGUCUUCCACCUUCAAAUAAAAGAA